GACGGAGGGUGCAAGCGUUGUUCGGAUUGACUGGGCGUAAAGGGCGUGUAGGCGGUCGGCCAAGUCUGAUGUGAAAGCCCGAGGCUCAGCCUCGGAAGUGCGUCGGAAACUAGUCGGCUGGAGCGCGAUAGAGGAGGGUGGAAUUCCUGGUGUAGCGGUGAAAUGCGUAGAUAUCAGGAGGAACACCGGCGGCGAAGGCGGCCCUCUGGAUCGUUGCUGACGCUGAGGAGCGAAAGCGUGGGGAGCGAACAGG
rnacentral:rRNA from 1 species